UGGGGUGUAGUUCAGUGGUAGAGUAUUUGCCUAGCAUGUGCAAGGCCCUGGGUUCAAUUCCCAGCACCUCAA